rnacentral:rRNA from 1 species
UACGAAGGGGGCGAGCGUUGUUCGGAUUUAUUGGGCGUAAAGCGCUCGCAGGCGGCCGGUCGCGUCGUGCGUGAAGGCCUUCGGCUCAACCGGAGGUGGUCGUGCGAUACGGGCUGGCUGGAGGUAGGUAGGGGGACGCGGAAUUCCCGGUGUAGUGGUGGAAUGCGUAGAGAUCGGGAGGAACACCGGCGGCGAAGGCGGCGUCCUGGACCUGGCCUGACGCUCAGGAGCGAAAGCGUGGGGAGCGAUCCGG